GCGAAGGGGGGCGUGCUACCAUGCAAGUCGAACGGGGUAUUAAGCGGAAGUUUACGGAUGGAAGGUUAUAUACUUAGUGGCGGACGGGUGAGUAACGCGUGGGCAACCUGCCCCGUGCCGGGGGAUACCGCCUGGAAACAGGCGCUAAUACCGCAUAAGCGCAUACAGCCGCAUGGGUGUAUGCGGAAAGCUCCGGCGGCACGGGAUGGGCCCGCGCCCGAUUAGCCAGUUGGCGGGGUAACGGCCCACCAAAGCGACGAUCGGUAGCCGGCCUGAGAGGGCGGACGGCCACAUUGGGACUGAGACACGGCCCAAACUCCUACGGGAGGCAGCAGUGGGGAAUAUUGCACAAUGGGGGAAACCCUGAUGCAGCAACGCCGCGUGGGUGAAGGAGCGUUUCGGCGCGUAAAGCCCUGUCAGCGGGGAAGGAGAAAGACGGUACCCGACCAAGAAGCCCCGGCUAACUACGUGCCAGCAGCCGCGGUAAUACGUAGGGGGCGAGGUUAUCCGGAAUUACUGGGUGUAAAGGGAGCGUAGACGGCGAGGUAAGCCUGAAGUGGAAGCCCGCGGCCCAACCGCGGAACUGCUUUGGGAACUGUUUUGCUGGAGUAUGGGAGGGGUAAGCGGAAUUCCUGGUGUAGCGGUGAAAUGCGUAGAUAUCAGGAGGAACACCGGUGGCGAAGGCGGCUUACUGGACCAUAACUGACGUUGAGGCUCGAAAGCGUGGGGAGCGAACAGGAUUAGAUACCCUGGUAGUCCACGCCGUAAACGAUGAUUACCAGGUGUCGGGUGUCGAAGGA
rnacentral:rRNA from 1 species